CAUUAGUGGGGCGUUAUAAUCUGAAUUUUACAAGACAAGAUAUAUCUUCUCUCUGGUUUUUGUGCAAACAGGAAGCAUCCUUAUUGAAUAUAACUGAUCAAGUGUGUGCUCUGUUCACUCCAUCUGAGGUUGGCUGUACAAAAGGUGAUGAUGCUGGUCUUUCAAAUGAGCACAUGAUUAUGGCAGAGAUUCCAUGUCUCAUAAG